rnacentral:lncRNA from 1 species
GUGCCAUCUCUAACUGGAUGACGGCACACAUCAUUUCCCUUUAAUGUUGUAUGUUGUACAGCUGAAAAUGACGUGGUGGUAAAAUAUUUGCUUAUUUUCUCUCAUUUUUGAUUAGUUCAACUUUUUUUUUUUUUUUUUUUUUUUUUUUUGUGUGUGUGUGUGUGUUUGUGUGUGUGUGUGCACUCCAGUCAGUUGCACUAGUAGUUCUGUACUGUAAUCCUGAUUGAUACUACGUGUUGACUAGAAUAGAAGUUCUGAGAAAGUAUACAACAAAUAUAAGCAAGUUAUAUAUGCUCUUGAGACAGUCUAUGCUGUUCGAUUUUGGCUGAGAAUCUGGCCGUGAGCCACUGUACAGCUUUUGAGUUAUAUUACAAUUCUAUUUUAGACCCCUAGGAAAUAUACGGCAUAUUAUGUGUAUUAUCCAUUUGCAAGGUUACUAUUUUCCUUGAGCUGGCUGUUUGUGUCUGAUGUGAAGAUUUUUAAUCUUACAACAUCAGUGAAGAUGUGAGAAUUAUGUUCCCACUUUUCUAUUGUAUACUUUAGAAGUUACCAUCUGGAAGAGAAAGAAGCUGAAGUUCACGGACAAGUCCUUUACCAGACGUGAUGAGGGAGGGGGUGAGAAAAGUGGCUUGAAGUUAGUGUUCUGCUUCCAAAGCUGAAAGCCAAACCUACUCCUGUCAUGUCUUAGAACAGCCUGGGGGAUGCACUAAACAAUUCUGGCUUUGUGCCUGCUAAUGAUUCAUGUAAGCAUUCUUAUCACAAAGGGACUUCAGCAGAAGCCAAAGAUCAGACCUUAUUUGUGUAUCUGUGUGAGUGAUAGCAGAAGGGAACGAAGCAAUUCUUCAUCUUCUUUUUCUAUAGGAGAUUGUGACAUCUCUAGCUCUGGGCAACAGAUUCUGAGAAAGGAAGUAGGUGGAAUGGUACCAAGUGGCAAUGGAUCUUUGAUGUCCUGUUUGGAAAAUUAA